AUUGAACGCUGGCGGCAGGCCUAACACAUGCAAGUCGAGCGGAUGAAGGGAGCUUGCUCCUGGAUUCAGCGGCGGACGGGUGAGUAAUGCCUAGGAAUCUGCCUGGUAGUGGGGGAUAACGUCCGGAAACGGGCGCUAAUACCGCAUACGUCCUGAGGGAGAAAGUGGGGGAUCUUCGGACCUCACGCUAUCAGAUGAGCCUAGGUCGGAUUAGCUAGUUGGUGGGGUAAAGGCCUACCAAGGCGACGAUCCGUAACUGGUCUGAGAGGAUGAUCAGUCAACAUGGGAACGAAAACAGGGCCAGACCUCCUAGGGGGGGCGCAGGGGGGAAAUGUUGGACAGGGGGGAAAGGCCUAACCAACCCAGGCGGGGGGGGUAAGAAGGUUUUUGGAUUUGAAAAGCCGUUUAGGUGGGAAGAAAGGGCAGAAAUUAAUACCGUGUCUUUUCCGACGUAACAAAAAAAAAAACCCCCGGCUAACUCCGUG
rnacentral:rRNA from 1 species